UGACAACAGGACUACAGAUCGACUUGGCACACGAGGCAUGAGACAAAAGUCCAAACACAAGACCGGUAACAUGACAGGGUUCUUUUUUGUGGUAUCUGGCAAGCCUUCACCAGGAGCUUUAAUGAAGAACAGUAAGCCUGCAGACACUGUUGUGUGUGAGCUGGUCCGGUCUCUUUACCCGUGAUCAGGGCCCGGCCCGGCAGAA